UCUUAAACCUGCUGAGAGAAAAGGCAAAUUUAUGGCAUCAAACAAAAUGUGAAAUGGUGAAGCCCAUUUCGCUCAUAGCGACUCUGAGGCUGUCCUGUGGAUGCAUCUAGACAUCAACGUGCAGGCGUUAGGCUUGAAGCAACAUUGGGCUAAUUCUACCGGAGAAGCCAAAUAAUAUCAUAUCUAACAGUUGGUCUGGAAGGUUACUCUUCAUGGCAAGUGCCAAUUUUUUUUCCAUUUUCUGUUAUGAUGCGUGAAACUAUCUUGUAGAUGUAGAUAUAUUGAUUAUGGAAGGAUGAAGUUGCCAAUUGACCUGAGGCGGUUUCCUUCUGCAGCCAGGAAAAAUCUGAAUAUGGAGUUUCUGUUUGGUAGUUUCACUAUUUAAAAGCACAUGUAUCACUUGUAUGGAGGUAACAACUUUACUUAUGCAAGCCCGUGUUUUCUGUUGCUUGUAAGCAAAAUUGGAUGAGUUUUUAUCUUGUUUUCUAUAGCGUGCUAAUAUUGCCAAUGGCAACAAUUUGCGAACUGCAAUUCUAG
rnacentral:sRNA from 1 species